GACGGGGCCCGCACAAGCGGUGGAGUAUGUGGUUUAAUUCGAUGCAACGCGAAGAACCUUACCUGGUCUUGACAUCCCGGAGACCCUUAGGAAACUAGGGGGUGCUUCCAUCUGGAAGAAUCUGGAGACAGGUGCUGCAUGGCUGUCGUCAGCUCGUGUCGUGAGAUGUUGGGUUAAGUCCCGCAACGAGCGCAACCCUUGCCUUUAGUUGCCAGCAGUUCGGCUGGGCACUCUAAAGGGACUGCCGAUGUUAAACCGGAGGAAGGUGGGGAUGACGUCAAGUCCUCAUGGCCUUUAUGACCAGGGCUACACACGUACUACAAUGGCCGAUACAAAGGGCAGCGACACUGCGAGGUGAAGCCAAUCCCGUAAAAUCGGUCUCAGUCCGGAUUGGAGUCUGCAACUCGACUCCAUGAAGUUGGAAUCGCUAGUAAUCGUGGAUCAGCAUGCCACGGUGAAUACGUUCCCGGGCCUU
rnacentral:rRNA from 1 species